rnacentral:rRNA from 1 species
UACGGGGGGGGCAAGCGUUGUUCGGAAUUACUGGGCGUAAAGGGCGCGUAGGCGGCCAUCUAAGUCAGACGUGAAAUCCCUCGGCUCAACCGAGGAACUGCGUCUGAUACUGGAAGGCUUGAAUCCGGGAGAGGGAUGUGGAAUUCCAGGUGUAGCGGUGAAAUGCGCAGAUAUCAGGAGGAACACCGGUGGCGAAGGCGGUUCUCUGGGCCUUACCUGACGCUGGAGGAGCGAAAGCGUGGGGAGCAAACAGG